rnacentral:tRNA from 1 species
GGUGGUGUAGCUCAGUGGUAGAGUGCUUGCCUUGUAUGUGUGAGGCACUGGGUUCAAUCCUCAGCACCACAU